rnacentral:rRNA from 1 species
UACGGAGGGUGCAAGCGUUAUCCGGAUUUAUUGGGUUUAAAGGGUGCGCAGGCGGAAUGAUAAGUCAGUGGUGAAAUCCUACAGCUCAACUGUAGAACUGCCAUUGAUACUGUCAUUCUUGAGUACAGUUGAAGUGGGCGGAAUGUAUCAUGUAGCGGUGAAAUGCAUAGAUAUGAUACAGAACUCCGAUAGCGAAGGCAGCUCACUAAACUGUAACUGACGCUCAGGCACGAAAGCGUGGGGAGCAAACAGG